rnacentral:lncRNA from 1 species
AUAAGAAAAAUCUGUGUUGGAAACCAAUGGUACACACACUGCUUCAGGACUAUGACUGGAGCUUCUCUUCACUGCAAUAUAGAAGUAAGGGAAGAAGUCACCACACAUCCCAGCUGGAGGAGGGAACAUGACUGGCUCACUUCAGCACCCUCACCAUUGUUCCAGAUAUCCAAGGCCCUCCUUGGACCUCAACAAGACUUAAGCCGCUGCAGAGACGGUGUAAAUGUGGAGUGGCUGGUUGGGGACAGAGUGAAACUCCUGGAAUCAGAUGGUGAUCUGCUGAUAAGCUG